rnacentral:siRNA from 1 species
AGGCUAAUUUGUGAAACUCAUUUG